GAUGAACGCUGGCGGCGUGCCUAAUACAUGCAAGUCGAACGGACAGACGAUGAGCUUUUUCCUCUGACGUUAGCGGCGGACGGGCGAGUAACACGUGGAUCACAUACCUAUAUUUCUGGGAUAAUUUCGGGAAACCGGUGAUAAUACCAGAUAAUAUAUUGAACCGCAUGGUUCAGUAGUGAUAGACGGCUUGGCUGUUUCUUAUAGAUGGUUCCGCGUCGGAUUAGCUAGUUGGUAAGGUAACGGCUUACCAAGGCAACGAGGCGUAGCCGAUCUGAGAGGGUGAUCGGCCACACUGGAACUGAGACACGGUCCAGACUCCUACGGGAGGCAGCAGUGGGGAAUAUUCGGCAAUGGGCGAAAGCCUGACGGAGCCAUGCCGCGUGAGUGAAGAAGGCCUUCGGAUUGUAAAGCUCUUUUAUUGGGGAAGAAAAGCUGUAGACGUAAACCUGGCCGUUUUGACGGUACCCAAUGAAUAAGCACCGGCUAACUACGUG
rnacentral:rRNA from 1 species